GUGGGGAAUUUUGGACAAUGGGCGCAAGCCUGAUCCAGCAAUGCCGCGUGCAGGAAGAAGGCCUUUUGGUUGUAAAGCACUUUAAGCGAGGAGGAGGCUACCGAGAUUAAUACUCUUGGAUAGUGGACGUUACUCGCAGAAUAAGCACCGGCUAACUCUGUGCCAGCAGCCGCGGUAAUACAGAGGGUGCAAGCGUUAAUCGGAUUUACUGGGCGUAAAGCGCGCGUAGGUGGCCAAUUAAGUCAAAUGUGAAAUCCCCGAGCUUAACUUGGGAAUUGCAUUCGAUACUGGUUGGCUAGAGUAUGGGAGAGGAUGGUAGAAUUCCAGGUGUAGCGGUGAAAUGCGUAGAGAUCUGGAGGAAUACCGAUGGCGAAGGCAGCCAUCUGGCCUAAUACUGACACUGAGGUGCGAAAGCAUGGGGAGCAAACAGGAUUAGAAACCCCAGUAGUCC
rnacentral:rRNA from 1 species